CUGGAAUCCUUGGAAAAUAUCUCCUGCUAAACCUGACGAUCUUUACACAAUUUGUUUCACAAGUGGUACCACAGGUAAGAUUUAUGUGUAGUUUUACCUUGUGGCAGAUUAAAGUAGGGAGUAAUUAUUUCAGCGUGCUAAACCUGCCGAUGUUUACACAAUUUGUUCCACAAGUGGUACCACGGGCCAACCAAAGGGAGUGAUGUUGAGCAACAAGAACAUGAUAUCCUGCCUCGCUGCAACUUUUAUA